UGUCCCUGCCCAUGGGAAUUUUGGUGGAUGAGCUUUAAGAUCCCUCCCAACCCAAACCAUUCCCUGGUUCUGUGAUUCCCAAGGCAAUCCUGGCUCUGAUGGAAUCUGGGUGAGAUUUUUCUCCCAGGAUUUCUGUGCAGCACAAAAGCCACGUCCCACUCUGCUGGCAAACAGGACAGGGCUGUCAAGCUCACCUGGAAAGCUCCAAAAAAAACACCAAGGCCUGGAUAAUCCUUCCAUUUCCAUCUCCUGGGAGAAGAGAAGGGGUAUUUAAAGUUGGUGUAGCCCGUGUUGUGAGCUGUAGUAAAUCCACAAGGCUUUUACUAGGAGCAGGUUCAGCAGGGAGCCAUCACUGCUGCCCAUUGUCCCAGCACAAACAUAUCAGAUGCCACUGGCACGUUUCUGGCACUAUUUUAUUGAGGGUUUGCUCUGAAAGCAGCUCUUGUACUACUCCUGAACUCCAAACUGCUGAUGUUGACACGUGUGAGUCCCCAGAUGAGCUGAUUAUUAUUUAAUGUACCUCUCAAACCAGAGAAACAAUUGCAGGUCAACUCAGAGAGUAUUUGAAAGCAGGACUUCAGAUCAGUGUUUGAUGUUUAAAAAAAAAAAAUAAAUAAAAGAAGUUAAAAGGAUUCAAAUUAAAAAGAUCCUUGGCUGCAGGCAGCAAAACAGCUGGACUUAUUUAAAACCAUUUGUUUUUCAAGUUUUCUCUUUUUUUAAUAUAUAUAUAUAUGAUUUUGCUUCUUUGUUUGAGUUGGAUGCAGUAGCACUUUGGUAUUGAAAAGAAUCAGAGAAUUUCCAUUGUCAAUAAGUUGGUUUUUGUGCAGAAAAUAGGGAGUGUUUCAAGAGAUCUCAGCAAAAGCCCAAAAUGUCUCUGUUAAAACACAUGGCCUUGUGCUUCUCAUUUCAUGGAAUAUCCUGUGUGAUUUUCCAGUUUACUCUGAAAAAAGACAGAAAACAUCCAAAUUCUAUCAGAAAUAUAUUUGGAAAGUCUGGAGACUCUGCUGAAUACAGAAAUACAGGGAUCCCCUGGUUGUAGCAUUUCCACAGUUGGACUCUCACCUCUUCAGUAUCCAAAAAAGAAAAGUCCCACAUCACUGAGCAGCAGCUCUGCUGCAGAACCCAUUCAGCACAUUCUGUGCAAUUCAAACCCUAAUUUAGUACAGCUCUCAAUUAAAAUCCUAAUUGAUUACAGCUCUCCCAUCUGCCUUGUGACUGGACCACCAAAGUGCACAGAGCUGGGAGUGGAAGCAGCAGGGAGAGGAGCUUGGAGGAGCCAGGAAGGGCCAGGUGACCUGAGAGGGAAUUUUAACAAAAGCACAGAGUGAUAGGAAAAGGGGGAUAGGAUUGGGAUGAAGGAGGGCAGGGGGAGAGGGGACAUUUGGAAUAAAUUGUUCCCUGUGAAAUGUGUGAGUUUAAGGUCCCUUCCAACCCAAACCUUCCCAUGAUUUGAUGAUUCUGGGAGUUCAGCCCAGUGGCAGAAGUGAGGUUGGUGUGGUCAUCAAGGUGAGCUCAGUGUGGUGACCAAGGUGAGGUUGUUGUGGUCAUCAAGGUGAGCUCAGUGUGGUCAUCAAGGUGAAGUUGUUGUGGUCACCAAGGUGAGGUCACUGUAGUCACCAAGGUGAGGUUCUUGUGGUCACCAGGGUGAGGUCACUGUGGUCAUCAACGUAAGGUCAGUGUGGUGACCACGGUGAGAUCACUGUGGUCACCAGCGUGAGAUCACUGUGGUCACCAUGGUGGGGUUGUUGUGGUCACAAAGGUGACGUCACUGUGGUCACCAAGGUGAGGUCACUGUGGUCAUCAAGGUGAGGUCAGUGUGGUCACCACAAUGUGGUCAGUGUGGUCACAAAGGUGAAGUUGUGGUCAUCAAUGUGAGGUCACUGUGGUCACCAAGGUGAGGUUGUUAAGGUCACCAAGGUGAGGUCACUGUGGUUAUCAAGGUGAGAUCACUGUGGUCAUCAACGUGAGGUCAGUGUUGUCACCAAGGUGAGGUUGUUGAGGUCACCAAGGUGAGGUCACUGUGGUCAUCAACGUGAGGUUGUUGUGUGGUCACCAGGGUGAGGUUGUUGUGGUCACCAAGGUGAGGUCAGUGUUGUCACCAAGGUGAGGUCAGUGUGGUCGCCACGAUGUGGUCAGUGUGGUCACAAAGGUGAAGUUGUUGAGGUCAUCAAGGUGAGGUCACUGUGGUGACCACGGUGAGGUCACCAUGGUCACCAAGGUGAGGUCAGUGUGGUCACCAUGAUGGGGUCAGUGUGGUCACCAAGGUGAUGUCACUGUGGUCACCAGCGUGAGGUCAGUGUGGUCACCACAGUGGGGUUGUUGUGGUCACAAAGGUGACGUCACUGUGGUCACCAAGGUGAGGUUGUUGUGGUCACCAAGGUGAGGUCAGCGUGGUCACCAAGCUGGGGUCACUGUGGUCACCACAGUGGGGUUGUUGUGGUCACCAAAGUGAGGUCACUGUGGUCACCACGGUGAGGUUGUUGAGGUCACCAAGGUGAGGUGACUGUGGUCACCAAAGUGAGGUCACUGUGGUCACCAAGGUGAGGUCAUUGUGGUGACCACAUGUGGGACAUCCCCACCUCCUUCCAGCUACAGCCCUUUUAACCCCCAGAACUGAAACCCACCCACCCUGGCAGCUAAAAAAUCAGGGACUCACAGGAGCAGGGAGCUGGCAGCUCUCAGACCCUAAAUCAAACAUUUCUGUCUGUGCCUCUCCUUUGUCUCCACUCAUCCUAAAGCUGAGGUUUAAUUUGGUUCUCCCUGGUGUGAACAGGAUGGAAAUACAGAACUGGUCACCACCACAUUCCCCUGUGUCCAUAUUGACACUUCUCUGGAAUUUCCCAGUGUUUCCUGUGCUUUUAUUGCCAGCAAUCAAAUUUUGGAGCCCAACCCCUCUGGGCAUGUCCAGCACUGCAAAGGAAAGGAAAAACCAAGUUCAUUACCCCUGGCAAUUAAUCUGUUUAAUCACUGUGGAUUUCAGUGCAUUCACUCAGCAGAAACCACAUUUUACUCCAAUAUUUGGGUUUUUUGCCAUCCCUAAGGAUGGCCAAGUUUUUUUAAGGUUGUGAAAGUGCUCUCAUGUCUUUCCUCUUUUAUUUUAAGAGCACUAAACAGGCAGAAAAGAAGACAUUUGGAUAAAACAUUUCCAAAUUAGAGUAUAUCAGUAUCUAUUUUUAUAUGGAUAUAAUAUAUAUAUAUAUAUAUACAUUUAUAUAAUUUUAUCAUCCCAGGAGCUGAUUGGAACCAGAAAAAUGGAAUUCCUGUGCAGUCAGCAGAGUGCUUUAGAAACCUCACCCUCCCAAAAUUCAGCUCCUGCCUGUCCCUGCUCUCAGCUUGGGUGCUCCUUUCACAAGACACAACUCCUUGUCCACAUCAAAUAUCUUCAGCAUAAAUUUUGCUGGCUCUGAGGGCAAAUAUUCCCUCUCCAACAAGAUUUAAACUCAUUUAAGAGUUCCUGCUCACUCCCAGGGCAUUGGAGAGGAGCUUUAAUGCAGGGACAAGAGGCUGCAGAGAGCUCCCUGCUCUGAAGGGUUUGAUUUGUACAACGAUGCCAAAUUCUCCUCUGGGAAGGAGAGAAAUCCUCUCCUCCAAACAGCCAAAGCCUUUGCCAAAAUAUCCCAAAUUUCCUGCGCUCUUGAAACAUUCUCUGCUGCUUUCUGGGUGAGCUUUUCCGUGGGUGUGUUUGACAUUCAGGGAGGAGUGGGUGUGUUUUCUGUCCUCUAGCAGAACUCUGCCCUGUUUUCCUGCCCUGUACCAUUUUCCCGUUGGAUUUUUGUUCACCUGGCUGGGUCAGUCCCAAGCACUCGGCGUUUUUCUCCUCCUCCUUCAAGGGUUGCAUCCCCAGAGUUACUUGUAUUUAUGUCUGUAAAUAGAUUUCCAAAGCUUCCUAGCCAAAAUAUUUAGUGCUUGUAAUUACUCUGCAUUUUUCUCCUUUUUUUUUUUUCCUGUGUUUUUAAUGAACUUACCUUUGUGUUUGCUGAAAUACUGUAGUGAGACUUAUUUCUUUUCCCAAUUAGUUAUUUUUAGGCUUCAAGAGGAACUACAUUUUAUUCACUUUUGUAAACAGUUAUAGCAUGGUCUCUAUACAACAUCCUUCACUUUUUUGUGGUAGGGGAAAAACAAACGUGAAAAA